rnacentral:tRNA from 1 species
GCCUUCGUGGUGUAACGGUAGCACAUUCGACGCUACUCGAGAGGUCGGAGGUUCGAGUCCUGGCUGGGGCA